rnacentral:rRNA from 1 species
CAUGCAAGUCGAACGAUGAACCACUUCGGUGGGGAUUAGUGGCGAACGGGUGAGUAACACGUGGGCAAUCUGCCCUGCACUCUGGGACAAGCCCUGGAAACGGGGUCUAAUACCGGAUACUGACCCGCUUGGGCAUCCAAGCGGUUCGAAAGCUCCGGCGGUGCAGGAUGAGCCCGCGGCCUAUCAGCUUGUUGGUGAGGUAAUGGCUCACCAAGGCGACGACGGGUAGCCGGCCUGAGAGGGCGACCGGCCACACUGGGACUGAGACACGGCCCAGACUCCUACGGGAGGCAGCAGUGGGGAAUAUUGCACAAUGGGCGAAAGCCUGAUGCAGCGACGCCGCGUGAGGGAUGACGGCCUUCGGGUUGUAAACCUCUUUCAGCAGGGAAGAAGCGAAAGUGACGGUACCUGCAGAAAAAGCGCCGGCUAACUACGUGCCAGCAGCCGCGGUAAUACGUAGGGCGCGAGCGUUGUCCGGAAUUAUUGGGCGUAAAGAGCUCGUAGGCGGCUUGUCGCGUCGGUUGUGAAAGCCCGGGGCUUAACCCCGGGUCUGCAGUCGAUACGGGCAGGCUAGAGUUCGGUAGGGGAGAUCGGAAUUCCUGGUGUAGCGGUGAAAUGCGCAGAUAUCAGGAGGAACACCGGUGGCGAAGGCGGAUCUCUGGGCCGAUACUGACGCUGAGGAGCGAAAGCGUGGGGAGCGAACAGGAUUAGAUACCCUGGUAGUCCACGCCGUAAACGGUGGGCACUAGGUGUGGGCGACAUUCCACGUCGUCCGUGCCGCAGCUAACGCAUUAAGUGCCCCCGCCCUCGGGAGUACGGCCGCAAGGCUAAAACUCAAAGGAAUUGGCGGGGGGCCCGCACAAGCGGCGGAGCAUGUGGCUUAUUUCGACGCAACGCGAAGAACCUUACCAAGGCUUG